CAGUAUGAUGUGAACACAGUGUGACUGUUGGGAGGAAAGCAGCAGAGCCGCACCUGUGUCUAAUCAAACUCCCGCCUUCAUGUGUGUGAGAGUCAGCGUCAGACAAGGACUGAAAGAAACUUUUCUGGUAAAAAAACAACCGAACCAGAGCCACAGUGAACCAGAAACCUGCACUUUCUGAUCACGGAUCAACUCCAAUGUUUCACUUUUCAGUGCUACUGCCAAGAAAAAGGCUGAUCUGAUGCAGAGCGGUCCAAGACCUCAACGGUGGCGACAACUGAAAGAAGCAGAAAGGACAUGGUGGCACAUGGACACCGGGUGUGCCUGAUUAUUUGAUUGACUGUGUGUGUGUGUGUGUGUGUGCAUGUGGAUCCUGGGAGCUGAUUGGUCCAGUACAGGAGGUUCCAGUAUAAGAGGCCAGAUUUUGACCAGCUCCGAUGAUAGCUUUUGAGUCAUGCACAGCCACACUGCCAACAGAUAUCCUGUUUUGUUUUGUGUUGUUUAGGAAUCCUUUACAAUCGUUUGUGUUGUGUAUGUGGGUGGUUUUCCUGGAAGUUGUCAAGAGUGCCUUGAUGUUGGGUCCAGGUUUUCCUGGUGUCCCAGUAUACUCUCCAUAAAAAGUCACCAGAAUGUCAUCAGAGCACGUCCACAAUCCUAAAAAACAAACCCUCAGACUUUUGGUCUUAAACUGUCGUCUGUCACUUGACCACUUGACCACCAACCCCUUCCUCAUGACUUCAGAAAUGUAAAUGUACAAAAGAACAAUGGCAACAGUUCUGGAAAUAAGGCGAUGGAGAACCCAAAUCAUAUUUCAUGAGGAACAGCGAGGGUUUCAUUUAGAAAAUGAAUGUGAAAAUCCAGUCAUUUGUGCAUGCAGGUAUUUUUAAUCUCACUGAAAACAAUUAAGUUUUUUUGGUUUUUCCAUCUUGAAAGCAUAAGCAACUAUUAUACUGGAAAAAGUGGCUUCUCAGAAAGUCAUUUUAAAGAUGAAUUGAUCUUAAAAAGAAACUGGCAAUCUCUAAUGCAUCUCUCUUUUUUUCUCUUUUAACCCCAUCAUAGUUUAUUUCACUUUUGUGAGGCUCGACAAGGAUCUUUAAGUAUUUCCCAUUCAUUAUUUGUCUAAUGUGAUUUAAACAAAAGACAGCGUUCAGAGAAAACAUGGGGCUAUUUUGUUCAUUACCCUUCAAAUGACCCAGAACAAAGCUCACUCCCGCUGUGGCAUCAAGGUCCCAGAAUGAACAUAACAGUCAGCGCAGACGGACACUAAUGACCUGGAGGCAUAGCCUCAGUUUAUCCCCAUGACACUGAUGCUCAUAUCCACAGACACACCCAAUUAACGAGAAUUUGAGCACAUUGUUCAAGUGUAAACCUCGAUGUAGAGAGCCAUAAAAAGACCUUUGCUGGCCUUUUGUCCACUACAAAUGUAAGAAGGACAUUUCCUGUUGUGAUCUCUGCCCAUAUACGUAUACAUGUAUGUUAUAUAUGUAUAUAUAUUCGUAACAAAACGCCCUCUAAGGCCAACACGAUAUGUUAUGAUUAUGCAACAGCAGUGAUUAUGUCGAGUGGAGCUGAAACUUACAUCUGCUGCACUUUGUGAUGUGUGAAGUGGAAAAACUGUGAGUGGAAUUUUAAAUGAAGAAGACUCGGGAUGAGUAAAAGUGACACAUGUGGUCUGAGGACUCAUUUGUUGAGUGCAGUUGUGUAAGUGCGUGUGUGUGUGUGUGUCUGUGUGCACAUGUGGAUACAUGCUGAGGGCAGUAGUUAUUCAACAGAACGAAAAACAAGUUGCAACAGAGCUGCAUGGUUCACCUGUCGUAGCCGAGAUGUUACGCAAUCCCCGCUCAGCUGAAGUCAGACCUCAGUGAAACGGAACAAAAAAUAAACCCCCAACCGCUCAACUUAUGAGUCCUCUUACUUUUAUUUUUAUCACUUAAUUAGAGUUAGUUUUGGCAAAGAAAGGAAAAUAACGCUGUGUCUUCGAUUUACAUCUCAAAGCAUCCCUCCUCGCCCUGCACUGUGUCAUCGACUGUGUUUUUGAGGUGAAUUUGUCAUACUGAUUUCCCCCACCCACAGAGGGAGCAGCUCAUGAUCAUGUGUUUAUUGUGUAUAUGAGAGGACUCACUCGCAUGUCAGUGACUCACCAUCGCGCAUUUACAAUUUGCUAAAUGGAAAUUUUCCAAUAUCCUCAGGCUCACAACAGACAUUUUAAACGAUAAACCGGCGUUAAGCAGGACUUCCAAAACAAUUCUACGACUGCUCACUGUUUAUGUCUUGAACUCCACGAGAGCAGAGCAAAAAAACUAAACUUACUUAGUUCACGCCGAUGAGUUUGAAGGCUGAACGUACAGGUUUGUCUGCAAAACUGUCGCUCUCAUCAGUGUCACAGGAGGCAGACUGACAUUGUGGCUUGAGUCCAGGUGAUCGUAGGUGUACAAUGAUUGACUCAAAGCUGCAGUGUGCUACUUUUGGUGAACUUGGUUGUCAAUGUUCUUAUUCUGCUUUAUUAUGUUUGGUCUAUAUAAACAGAAACAAUGGAAUGGAUUAUUGUGUGUGCUGCGUUCUUCAUAUGAAAAUUGCCUCUGUCAA